CUCAGCGAGGCCUGGGCGAUGAGGUCACCCAGCCGUGGGACCGAAGGCAUGAGAUGAAAAGGAGAAGCAAUGAGUGCCUGUGUCCUGCGUUGUCUGCCCACAGUAACAUCUGCCUCUGAAGUUGCAUCUUAGAAUGCGAGUUAUCACCAGCACGGCAGCUUACCGCGACCAUGCUCAUCCUAACCCUAUUCUGCCUGAGGCCCUGCAAUGUCUCCCACAUUCUGCUGUGGUCCAUGCUGAAAUGGGGCGGCACAAACCUUACUAGUAAAAUUCCACCGCCAGAUUCUGGUGACAUGGGAAGUCAGCGUCAGGGCUGUGGAUGGAACUGUUUCAAAGGCUGAAUGCAGUAAUCAAAGCCAAUAUUCAAUCAAUACACUAUUUAAGCAAAAGGCCUUCACCAGACCUGAACUCCAGAGAAACCACUUUACAGAGGCUAACCUACUCAGGUUUCCUCACUGCCUAGCUGCCUGGGGCCAGGACCUACCACCUCUGAUGCACUCCUGCACCCGACAUGGGAGAAUGGAACACCUGGAGUGGAGACACACAAGUGGAAAUUACCACCGGACCCAGUCCAGGGGUACAAAAGCCUUAACUGUAAUUUAUGAGUUGCCAGAGGUUCAGUGGAGCCAACCUGUGUUAAAAACUCCAGGAGGACUUAGUGAUGGGGGAUACCCACAAGAUUGUGGGGUUUAUCCUGAAGAGCUCAACCAGGUCCUUACAUUAAAUAUCAGUGAGAAAAC
ensembl:lncRNA